rnacentral:rRNA from 1 species
UACGUAGGGGGCAAGCGUUGUCCGGAAUCAUUGGGCGUAAAACGCGUGUAGGCGGCUCGGUAAGUCCGCUCUGAAAGUCCAGGGCUCAACCCUGGGAUGCGGGUGGAUACUGCCGGGCUCGAGUCCGGAAGAGGCGAGUGGAAUUCCCGGUGUAGCGGUGAAAUGCGCAGAUAUCGGGAGGAACACCAAUGGCGAAGGCGGCUCACUGGCCCGGUACUGACGCUGAGGUGCGAAAGCGUGGGGAGCAAACAGG